rnacentral:SRP_RNA from 1 species
GCUAGAUGUGGUGGUGCACAUCUGUAAUCCCAGCUACUCAGGAGGCUGAGGUGGGAGAAUCGCUUGAACGCGGGAGGUGGAGCUCGCAGUGAGCCCAGAUCGCGCCACUGCACUCCAGCCUGGGUGACAGAGCGAGACUCCAUCUCAA